CGGGACGGGUGAGUAAUGCUAGGAAUCUGCCUGGUAGUGGGGGACAACGUUUCGAAAGGAACGCUAAUACCGCAUACGUCCUACGGGAGAAAGCAGGGGACCUUCGGGCCUUGCGCUAUCAGAUGAGCCUAGGUCGGAUUAGCUAGUUGGUGAGGUAAUGGCUCACCAAGGCGACGAUCCGUAACUGGUCUGAGAGGAUGAUCAGUCACACUGGAACUGAGACACGGUCCAGACUCCUACGGGAGGCAGCAGAC
rnacentral:rRNA from 1 species